UCGUGCUAGGCGGGGAGUUAGCGGUGCCCUGUACUCGCAAUCCGCUACAGCGGGGCUGAAUUCCCGCUCGAGGUCUUGAGCUUUUUGGGACUGCCUGUGUUAAGCGGCGUUGAAGGCUGGGUCCUGCGCGGCAGAACACUAUGAACCCCGUCAGGUCCGGGAG
rnacentral:SRP_RNA from 1 species